AAAUCCGCUGUCAAAAUGACUAAAACACUGACAUAUUUUGUUUUGGUCGUGUUUAUCACAAGCGUGGAAAGACUGGGAACGAUACUGUCGACUUAGGCUUCAAAUUUCCGGGCGAAGCAUUGGUCGACAGCUGCUUUCGUUUCUUACUCACCCACCGUUGACGAUAUCGUAAAAAGAACAAGGAUGUAAUAAAAGUGCCGAAAAUAAUUCCAGAAAUCAAGGUUACCAAUAUAAUGUACCAUUUCGUUUUUGUCUCUGUUAUUUUACAUGUUUUACAGUUAUCAAAGGUUCUUGAAGUAGAAGUUAAGUUACCUAAAAGAAAAAGAAGCUUUUUAGAAUGACUAUAAAGCCAGUUGAGAAGAGGAUGACUAUAAUGUAAAGAGUAUAAUAUGCAUAAACAUAGCCUCAACGUUUAAAUAGGACGAAAAAUAGGGAGAAUUUAAAUGAGGAGGAAUAAAAAGUUUAGAAUAAACUGCACGUGUCCAGUCAACCAUUAACUCGUGGGAGUACCUAGAAAAUUAUAACUUCUUUUCUUAAAGAUACCUUUGAGAUUGUUGUGAAUAGAAGUUGACGUUGAAGUAAAAAAUGGCCUUGAUCGACUGAUGGAGCUAGAUAACUCCAAUACUACACAAAAAAAACACGAAUCAUUAGCUUCGUCUUACUUUAUACUUAAUUUAAUUUCUGUUAAGAAAUAAAAGAUGUUUACUGUGUUUGCACAGGCUUAUGCAAAA